CUUAUUACGAGCGGCUGAGGGAAUAGGCCCUGUGAAGCCCGGCAACCCGGCAAUGACCGAAGGUGCUAAAUCCUACAGAUUUAUUUCUGAAAGAUGAGG
rnacentral:ncRNA from 1 species